rnacentral:rRNA from 17 species
GCGACCCCAGGAUGGGCGAGGCCACCCGCU